rnacentral:lncRNA from 1 species
AAUUGACUUACUGCCUCCUGGGCAGUCCUAAGGCAGGACUUCAACUGCCAUUGGUAGAUGUAGAAUUCGGGGAAGGCAAAGGAAGUGACAUAAGAAAAAGUGUCUUUAAAAUGGAGUUACAAUUUCCUAAAUCAAUUUCUAUUGGCAGUUCUUCAUUCCUUGAAGUGGAGGCUGGUAAAGAAUAUGCUGACUGAAGCUAAGACCCUGUUUCCUGGUGAGACUGUUCUAAAAUGUAUUCCUUUGAACUGACACACGGUAUGAAGAAAGAAGCAAGAAGGCAACCCCUUGUUCUGGACUUUUUUUUUUUUCCCCAUGGAUUAUAUCCAUGUUGGUGAAGAUCAGGCAUGCAUGCUCUAGGGUGCCAGAGGGCGCUGCUCCCAUCACCAUCUCUGCCACACCUGAGGACAUUUUUUGCCUGCUCCAUUCAUCAAACUUCUGUCCAGCAAAGCAAUAAUUGCAUUAUAAAAUCGUGGAUGUAGAACUGGAAGAUACUUCGUUAGACCUUAUCAACUCUGACAUCCAGAUUUAAGAGAAGGGGAAGAAGUUUAAAGAAAAAUGAGACAUUGACUAAGAAAGGUCCUUACUUCCUGCUGAGUUGGUUUAUCAAGGUGUGGCCACUGUGGUUGCUGAAGCUUCUUAGAGUCACAGAUGAGAACUGGGUGGCAGUUAGAUACCAAAGGAUGAUGAGAAGCAUUGAAAAGGUUUCAGCAAGCCCUCACAUUACAGGUAUUCAUCUUUUUUGGACAUCCAAAUUUAAGAAAGGAUUACAAAUAAAGAAGACAGAAUUUCAUUCCUUCAUGUUGAAAUGUACAUACGUCUUGAUCUAAUCUUACUCAGAAAAUGAUUUCCAAAUAAGAAAUAAUAAAAUUUUGUAAAACUGGAUUUUAGUAUUUUGA